GAUUGAACGCUGGCGGCAGGCCUAACCCAUGCAAGUCGAACGGUAACAGGAAGCAGCUUGCUGCUUCGCUGACGAGUGGCGGACGGGUGAGUAAUGUCUGGGAAGCUGCCUGAUGGAGGGGGAUAACUACUGGAAACGGUAGCUAAUACCGCAUAAUGUCGCAAGACCAAAGAGGGGGACCUUCGGGCCUCUUGCCAUCGGAUGUGCCCAGAUGGGAUUAGCUUGUUGUGGGGUAACGGCUCACCAAGGCGACGAUCCCUAGCUGGUCUGAGAGGAUGACCAGCCACACUGGAACUGAGACACGGUCCAGACUCCUACGGGAGGCAGCAGUGGGGAAUAUUGCACAAUGGGCGCAAGCCUGAUGCAGCCAUGCCGCGUGUAUGAAGAAGGCCUUCGGGUUGUAAAGUACUUUCAGCGGGGAGGAAGGGAGUAAAGUUAAUACCUUUGCUCAUUGACGUUACCCGCAGAAGAAGCACCGGCUAACUCCGUG
rnacentral:rRNA from 1 species